rnacentral:rRNA from 1 species
GGGGGUACAGGGGACCCGGGGGGCAGCCUGAUCCGCCCUGCCGCGUGCAGGAUGACGGCCUUCGGGUUGUAAACUGCUUUUGUACGGAACGAAAAGGUUUUGUUCUAAUACACUGGGGGCGUAUUGACGGUACCGUAAGACGUAAGCACCGGCUUAACCUACGUGCCAGCAGCCGCGGUAAUACGUAGGGUGCAAGCGUUAAUCGGAAUUACUUGGGCGUAAAGCGUGCGCAGGCGGUUAUAUAAGACAGAUGUGAAAAUCCCCGGGCUCAAACCUGGGAAACUGCAUUAGUGACUGUAUAGCUAGAGUGCGGCAGAGGGGGAUGGAAUUCCGCGUGUAGCAGUGAAAUGCGUAGAUAUGCGGAGGAACACCGAUGGCGAAGGCAAUCCCCUGGGCCUGCACUGACGCUCAUGCACGAAAAGCGUGGGGAGCAAACAGGAUUAGAUACCCUGGUAGUCCACGCCCUAAACGAUGUCAACUGGUUGUUGGGUCUUUACUGACUCAGUAACGAAGCUAACGCGUGAAGUUGACCGCCUGGGGAGUACG